rnacentral:rRNA from 1 species
GAUGAACGCUGGCGGCGUGCCUAAUACAUGCAAGACGAGCGAACAGACGAGGAGCUUGCUCCUCUGACGUUAGCGGCGGACGGGUGAGUAACACGUGGAUAACCUACCUAUAAGACUGGGAUAACUUCGGGAAACCGGAGCUAAUACCGGAUAAUAUAUUGAACCGCAUGGUUCAAUAGUGAAAGACGGUUUUGCUGUCACUUAUAGAUGGAUCCGCGCCGCAUUAGCUAGUUGGUAAGGUAACGGCUUACCAAGGCAACGAUGCGUAGCCGACCUGAGAGGGUGAUCGGCCACACUGGAACUGAGACACGGUCCAGACUCCUACGGGAGGCAGCAGUAGGGAAUCUUCCGCAAUGGGCGAAAGCUUGACGGAGCAACGCCGCGUAAGUGACGAAGGUCUUCGGAUCGUAAAACUCUGUUAUUAGGGAAGAACAAAUGUGUAAGUAACUAUGCACGUCUUGACGGUACCUAAUCAGAAAGCCACGGCUAACUACGUG